rnacentral:rRNA from 1 species
GUAGCAAGGUUAAGCACUUAAGGUGCGGAGCCGUAGCGAAAGCGAGUUUUAACUGAGCGUUCAGUUACUUGACGUAGACCCGAAACCGGGCGACCUACCCAUGAGCAGGAUGAAGCGAAAGUAAAAUGUCGUGGAGGUCCGAACCCACGAGCGUUGAAAAGCUCGGAGAUGACUUGUGGGUAGCGGUGAAAUUCCAAUCGAGCCCGGAGAUAGCUGGUUCUCCCCGAAAUAGCUUUAGGGCUAGCCUCAAGGUGAGAGAUACGGAGGUAGAGCACUGAAUGUCCUAGGGGGUAUUGCACCUACCGAAG